rnacentral:misc_RNA from 1 species
AUUGGUCAGAUGCAGGAGAGUCACCUGAACACUACCCAGACCCACCAUUGCACCCUAAAACGUUAGUGGUCACUCUAUGGAUGCUCAUUGACAACAGCAGGAGAACAGGACAGUGGUCAGAUGCAGGAGAGUCACCUGAACACUACCCAGACCCACCAUUGCACCCUAAAACGUUAGUGGUCACUCUAUGGAUGCUCUUUGACAACAGCAGGAGAACAGGACAGUGGUCAGAUGCAGGAGAGUCACCUGAACACUACCCAGACCCACCAUUGCACCCUAAAACGUUAGUGGUCACUCUAUGGAUGCUCAUUGACAACAGCAGGAGAACAGGACAGUGGUCAGAUGCAGGAGAGUCACCUGAACACUACCCAGACCCACCAUUGCACCCUAAAACGUUAGUGGUCACUCUAUGGAUGCUCUUUGACAACAGCAGGAGAACAGGACAGUGGUCAGAUGCAGGAGAGUCACCUGAACACUACCUAAACCCACCAUUGUACCCUAAAAGGUUAGUGGUCACUCUAUGGAUGCUCAUUGACAACAGCAGGAGAACAGGACAGUGGUCAGAUGCAGGAGAGUCA